AUUGAACGCUGGCGGAAUGCUUUACACAUGCAAGUCGAACGGUAGAGGGGGCAACCCCUCGAGAGUGGCGAACGGGUGAGUGAUAUAUCGGAACGUGCCCAGUCGUGGGGGAUAACGUAGCGAAAGUUACGCUAAUACCGCAUACGAUCUAAGGAUGAAAGCGGGGGAUCGCAAGACCUCGCGCGAUUGGAGCGGCCGAUAUCAGAUUAGGUAGUUGGUGGGGUAAAGGCUCACCAAGCCAACGAUCUGUAGCUGGUCUGAGAGAACGACCAGCCACACUGGAACUGAGGCACGGUCCAGACUCCUACGGGAGGCAGCAGUGGGGAAUUUUGGACAAUGGGCGCAAGUCUGAUCCAGCCAUUCCGCGUGCAGGAUGAAGGCCCUCGGGUUGUAAACUGCUUUUGUACGGAACGAAAAGGUCUCUCUUAAUACGGGGGGCUCAUGACGGUACCGUAAGAAUAAGCACCGGCUAACUACGUGCCAGCAGCCGCAGUAA
rnacentral:rRNA from 1 species